UGCCAGCAGCCGCGGUAAUACGGAGGGUGCAAGCGUUGUUCGGAAUUACUGGGCGUAAAGCGCGCGUAGGCGGUUUGUUAAGUCAGAUGUGAAAGCCCUGGGCUUAACCUGGGAAGUGCAUUUGAAACUGUCAGACUUGAGUAUUGGAGGGGGUGGUGGAAUUCCCGGUGUAGAGGUGAAAUUCGUAGAUAUCGGGAGGAAUACCGGUGGCGAAGGCGACCACCUGGCCAAAUACUGACGCUGAGGUGCGAAGGCGUGGGGAGCAAACAGGAUUAGAUACCCUGGUAGUCCACGCGGUAAACGAUGAGAACUAGGUGUUGGGACGGUUGAUCGUCUCAUUGCCGCAGCUAACGCAUUAAGUUCUCCGCCUGGGGAGUACGGUCGCAAGAUUAAAACUCAAAGGAAUUGGCGG
rnacentral:rRNA from 1 species